rnacentral:rRNA from 1 species
UCGAGAAUUUUUCACAAUGGGCGAAAGCCUGAUGGAGCGACGCCGCGUGGGGGAUGAAUGGCUUCGGCCCGUAAACCCCUGUCAUCUGGGAACAAUUCUCAUCCAUUAACACCGGAUGAGUUGAUAGUACCGGAAGAGGAAGGGACGGCUAACUCUGUGCCAGCAGCCGCGGUAAUACAGAGGUCCCGAGCGUUGUUCGGAUUCACUGGGCGUAAAGGGUGCGUAGGUGGUGAGGUAAGUCUGAUGUGAAAUCCCGCAGCUCAACUGCGGAACUGCAUCGGAUACUAUCUGGCUAGAGGGUUUGAGGGGGGACUGGAAUUCUCGGUGUAGCAGUGAAAUGCGUAGAUAUCGAGAGGAACACCAGUGGCGAAGGCGAGUCCCUGGAAAACUCCUGACACUGAGGCACGAAAGCUAGGGGAGCAAACAG